rnacentral:rRNA from 1 species
ACGGGAGGCAGCAGCUAAGAAUAUUCCGCAAUGGACGAAAGUCUGACGGAGCGACGCCGCGUGGAUGAUGAAGGCCGGAAGGUUGUAAAAUCCUUUUAUAACUGAGGAAUAAGUAUUAUCAGAGAAAGGUAGUAUGGUGACUGUAGGUUAUGAAUAAGCAACGGCUAAUUACGUGCCAGCAGCCGCGGUAACACGUAAGUUGCGAGCGUUGUUCGGAAUUAUUGGGCGUAAAGGGCAUGUAGGCGGUUUUGCAAGCUUGGUGUGAAAUCCCGGAGCUCAACUCCGGAAUUGCGUUGAGAACUGCAUAACUAGAGUCACUGAGGGGCAAUCAGAAUUCCAGGUGUAGGGGUGAAAUCUGUAGAUAUCUGGAAGAAUACCAAUGGCGAAGGCAGGUUACGGGCAGAUAAUUGACGCUGAGGUGCGAAGGUGCGGGGAGCGAACAGGAUUAGAUACCCUGGUA